AGAGUUUGAUCCUGGCUCAGGAUGAACGCUAGCGGCAGGCUUAACACAUGCAAGUCGAGGGGCAGCGCGGGAUAGCAAUAUCCUGGCGGCGACCGGCGGAAGGGUGCGUAACGCGUGAGCGACAUGCCCGUUGCCCGGGGACAACCGGUGGAAACGCCGACUAAUCCCCGAUGGGAUACGAUGCUUCAUGGCAUUGUAUUGAAAGUUACGGCGGCGACGGAUUGGCUCGCGUCCGAUUAGCUUGUUGGCGGGGUAACGGCCCACCAAGGCUACGAUCGGUAGGGGUUCUGAGAGGAAGGCCCCCCACAAUGGGACUGAGACACGGCCCAUACUCCUACGGGAGGCAGCAGUGAGGAAUAUUGGUCAAUGGGCGGAAGCCUGAACCAGCCAUGCCGCGUGCGGGAAGGAGGCCCUAUGGGCUGUGAACCGCUUUUGCCUGGGGGCAAUAAGGGCGUCGCGCACGUCCGAUGAGAGUACCAGGCGAAUAAGCAUCGGCUAACUCCGUGCCAGCAGCCGCGGUAAUACGGGGGAUGCGAGCGUUAUCCGGAUUCAUUGGGUUUAAAGGGUGCGUAGGCUGUGCGUCAAGUCGGGGGUGAAAUUCCGGUGCUCAACACCGGGGCUGCCCUUGAUACUGUCGCGCUGGAGUGCGGAUGCCGCCGGAGGAAUGAGUGGUGUAGCGGUGAAAUGCUUAGAUAUCACUCAGAACACCGAUUGCGAAGGCAUCUGGCGAAUCCGUAACUGACGCUGAGGCACGAAAGCGUGGGGAUAGAACAGGAUUAGAUACCCUGGUAUUCCACGCCGUAAACGAUGAUGGCUAACCGCCGGCGACACACUGUCGGUGGCCAAGCGAAAGCGAUAAGCCAUCCACCUGGGGAGUACGUCGGCAACGAUGAAACUCAAAGGAAUUGACGGGGGCCCGCACAAGCGGAGGAACAUGUG
rnacentral:rRNA from 1 species